AUUGAACGCUGGCGGAAUGCUUUACACAUGCAAGUCGAACGGCAGCACGGACUUCGGUCUGGUGGCGAGUGGCGAACGGGUGAGUAAUGCAUCGGAACGUGCCCAAUCGUGGGGGAUAACGUAGCGAAAGUUACGCUAAUACCGCAUACGAUCUAAGGAUGAAAGCGGGGGAUCGCAAGACCUCGCGCGAAUGGAGCGGCCGAUGUUAGAUUAGGUAGUUGGUGGGGUAAAGGCUCACCAAGCCGACGAUCUAUAGCUGGUCUGAGCGGAUGAUCAGCCACACUGGGACUGAGACACGGCCCAGACUCCUACGGGAGGCAGCAGUGGGGAAUUUUGGACAAUGGGCGCAAGCCUGAUCCAGCCAUUCCGCGUGCAGGAUGAAGGCCCUCGGGUUGUAAACUGCUCUUGUACAGAACGAAAAGCUCUGGGUUAAUACCCUGGGGUCAUGACGGUACUGUAAGAGUAAGCACCGGCUAACUACGUGCCAGCAGCCGCAGUAAAAC
rnacentral:rRNA from 1 species